GACGAAUCCGUGUUUUAGCUUUGGACAACAAGUCAUGGCCAUAGAUUAGGUAAAUAAUCCAAUGGCUGAUAUUAUUUUUCCCCAAUCGCCCCUAAUUGUGAGUUAAAACCCUUGGCGGGCUUGUUUCCCCCCAUCAGACAUUCUCCAUUUCCCCUCCAAAGCAACACUUCCCCCUUCCCCCUCCAAACCCUACCUGCCACGCCACCAGUAGGAAGAAUGCUGCCCUUCACGCUACUAGCAGCCUCUUGUUCCAUCAAUUUCUCAGCCUUUUGAAGCAAUGUGCUGUUCAAAUCGCAAGGUUUCUGUAUGGUUUAUGUAGUUUGAAGGCAGUCACCCACUCAAGGCCUCGAGCAUUUGUCAUGCACCACUAAAAGACUUGUCCAUAUUGUGCACCCAUUGACGAAAAAUCAUGGAUCCGCCACUGUUGCAAACCAUGAUCUCCUGAUUCAUUUUACAUCAUUAUUGUUAUUUAUUUUGUUUAGAUGGUCAGUAUAUUGAAUUUUAUCAGUACUUAUACAUCAUUAUUGCAAACCAUGAUCUCCUAAUUCAUUUCGUUUUGGUCGAUUUUUCGGUUCGGUUUCGAUUUUUUCAUUUCUUUGUUUCGUUUUGGCCGAUUUCGAUUCGGUUUUUUUUUUGUUCCGUUUCGAUCGGUUUUUCCAAACUGUUUUCGAUCUUUUCAGUUUUUUUUUUCGUUUUGAUUGUUUCGUUUCGGUUCAUUUUUUGGUUUUUGGUUUCGUUUUGGUUAGUAAAAAGAUAGAGUUUGAGUCCCAAAGUGAACCCAACAUAGAAGACGAAUUUGGAGAAGGUAGUUCGUCACAAGUGAAUGAAGUUCAAGUAUUUGAAAAGGUGUUUGGUGCUCGACGCGGGCAUUAUAUAGGUAUGGGGCGUAAACCUUCACUAUCUAGAUUCGCACCACCGAGUUGCGUUGGUCCUCAUGAGAAGGAGCAAACACCUCCAGCACUUACAGAGGAUUUUCUUGAUGGUUUGUUUGAAAACGAAAGUUUUUUAGAACGCCUCUCAAAAUUCAUGAACUCUAAGAAGGCUUCAAAGAAUGGCAAUGAAGACAACAUGGAUGAGGAUCAAGAAUGAUGAAAAAAAGAAACUUGAUGUUUAUUAUGUUUUAUUUUAGACUUAUAACUUAACUAGAAACGUGAAAUGUGAAACGUGAUGUUAUUAUGGCUUAUUUUUGAUUUGAUA